AGUGAACGCUGGCGGUAGGCCUAACACAUGCAAGUCGAACGGCAGCACAGUAAGAGCUUGCUCUUACGGGUGGCGAGUGGCGUACGGGUGAGGAAUACAUCGGAAUCUACUUUUUCGUGGGGGAUAACGUAGGGAAACUUACGCUAAUACCGCAUACGACCUACGGGUGAAAGCAGGGGAUCUUCGGACCUUGCGCGAUUGAAUGAGCCGAGGUCGGAUUAGCUAGUUGGCGGGGUAAAGGCCCACCAAGGCGACGAUCCGUAGCUGGUCUGAGCGGAUGAUCAGCGACACUGGAGCUGAGACACGGUCCAGACACCUACGGAAGGCAGCAGUGGGGAAUAUUGGACAAUGGGCGGAAGCCUGAUCCAGCCAUACCGCGUGGGUGAAGAAGGCCUUCGGGUUGUAAAGCCCUUUUGUUGGGAAAGAAAAGCAGCAGGUUAAUACCACGCUGUUCUGACGGUACCCAAAGAAUAAGCACCGGCUAACUUCGUG
rnacentral:rRNA from 1 species